GGCAGUUCUUGGGUGAUGCACCCCGGAACCAGAGAGGAAGACGCCUGAUUCCGGGGUGCGUCACCCAAGAACUACC
rfam:Myotis brandtii contig319075, whole genome shotgun sequence.